rnacentral:rRNA from 1 species
GACCCAGACUCCUACGGGAGGCAGCAGUGGGGAAUAUUGCACAAUGGGGGGAACCCUGAUGCAGCGAUGCCGCGUGGAGGAAGAAGGUUUUCGGAUUGUAAACUCCUUUUAUCAGGGACGAUAAUGACGGUACCUGAAGAAAAAGCUCCGGCUAACUACGUGCCAGCAGCCGCGGUAAUACGUAGGGAGCGAGCGUUGUCCGGAAUUACUGGGUGUAAAGGGAGCGUAGGCGGGACGGCAAGUCUGAUGUGAAAAUUUGGGGCUCAACCCCAAACGUGCAUUGGAAACUGCAGGGCUUGAGUGCCGGAGAGGCAGGCGGAAUUCCUAGUGUAGCGGUGAAAUGCGUAGAUAUUAGGAGGAACACCAGUGGCGAAGGCGGCCUGCUGGACGGUAACUGACGUUGAGGCUCGAAAGCGUGGGGAGCAAACAGGAUUAGAUCCCCUUGUA